rfam:TPA: Bos taurus chromosome 9, whole genome shotgun sequence.
UCCCUGGUGGCUUAGCUGGAAAAGAAUCUGCCUGCAAUGCAGGAGACCUGGGUUCAGUCCCUGGGUUGGGGAA